GGAAAGUUCAGGGACAGGGCAGUAAAAAGGCUGGCUGUCGUGGGGCCCUGUGUAGGGGUCCCUGGAGCAAACCAAGAGUCGGUGGGGGGCAUCUGGCAAAGGUCCUCCUGCAGCUGUGCCAUCUAAGCCGGGACCUCAGCCCCGCCCCUACCUGCCCGUCUGCUAGAACUUCGUGGAGUUGAUGCACGCAUGUAUUCCGUGUCUCUGCAGGACACGCAGCAGAAAACAGCUCUUUCUUAUCGGAGAAGUUAGCAGGGUUGCCGUCGGGUCUCUGAGAGUUAAUGCCUCCGUCUGCCUGCAGGUAAAGGAAUUGAUGUUAUCAUCACUUUGUAGAAGAAAGUAAAGCACCCCAGAGAUUUUGGGGGUUACCGGUGGAACUGAGCUAGACCAUGGAUUCCUGAUUCUGGUUCCAGCUCCUCUUACCAGGAUAGCCCGGGGUUUGCUGUUUUCCCUCGAGGCCUCCAGGGUGACGUCACGCUUGGUGUUUCUGUCGAACAUCCUGAAGAAGUUGUUGUAGGAGCCUGUCAUGAUGACGCUGCAAGGUA